rnacentral:lncRNA from 10 species
AAAAAUUUAACCUAGUAAAUCUGGAAGAUCCUCUUAUAUCUUUUAUUUUUUGGCUUACUUCAGCACAGGCUAGAAUAUUCAUUUAGAAACUGGGAUGCUGGAAAUAGAUCUUAUUAAAAAAUCAUUUAUAGUUUCUCUUUGUUUUUUUUUUUUUUUUUGAGAUGGAGUUUUGCUCUCGUCAUCCAAGCUGGAGUGCAGUGGCGCGAUCUCGGAUCACUGCACCUCCACCUCCCACGUUCAAGGGAAUCUCCUGCCUCAGACUCCUGAGUAGCUGGGAUUACAGGCACCUGCCACCACACCCACCUAAUUUUUUGUAUUUUUAGUAGAGACGGGGUUUUGCCAUGUUGGCCAGGCUGGUCUUGAACUCCUGACUUUGUGAUCCACCCGCCUCGGCCUCCCAACAUUUAUAGCUUUGGGGGCUCAGCAAGUGAUGCCCCAAAUUUCCCAAAGGAAAUUUAACAUACUGAGAGGCCUUAUAAGCUGCCUCAGAAUAAAGGUCCCUCUAUCCUUGUCUUGUUCUCGUCUUUCCCAAGCAAUGAGAUGGUGCUAGGACAUCCUCCCUAGGGAUCUUGUGAAAUAACAAGGAAACAUCAAUGACUAGAGAAGAGAAGAGACUAGGAAUCAUCAUCACACUCAGACAGAAUUCUCAUCCAAGAACAAUUCCAAAAAGUAACCUCAGAAACAUUAUCUUCUUAAUAGGACAACCAUUGUUCCUGUGAACCAUUGCCUGAGCAUUGGACCCAUUUAUUCCUUUAUUUUUCUGGCUCUUGUGAAGAAAGCAUUUGAGCUUUAAUCACCUGGUCCAUCUUUGAGUUCAUAUUUUGAAUGAUACUUAUGGACACAUGUGCAUGUAAUAGUGAUAACUUUGUUAUGUUUUUCCCUGGUUAAUCUCUUUUUUGUUAUAGGGGUGUAGGCUGUAAACUUUUACAAUGGGGAGAGAAGGGAUCACACCCUCUCAGCCCCCAUAGUUCUAGAAACAAAGGUAGGACGACUGAGACACCUGACUUGCUUCCAAGCCUACAAUUGAGGACCUAGGACAACUGACAAAAAGCUGACAAAGAAAGAUAAGAAUUUUUACCAAGUUUAGCUCUCCUGGAUCUCUACCUGGAGUACCUGAUGGAGAAUGGAAGACUCACUGAAAUUGAAAAUGCCUUUUUCCUAAGACCCUACAAACUGAAUCAGUCAACUUGGCUUUGAAGAAACAUCACCACAAGAGCCUAUAUUUGGAAAAACUUUGUACAUGCAAAGCGCAAAGCAAAAAAAAAUCUGUAAAAUUGCCGUUUGUAAUUUCAACUGACUGUUCUCCAGAGACUCUACAGAAACUCCAGAGAUUAGCCAUUAUUUUUUGCAUAAGUCAUAAGAAUCCACUCUAAUAAGAAAUAUUCCUUAUUAAAGAUUUGUUCACUUGCAUCAUAUAUAGAGGCCUAACUUUGACAGCCAGUCUUCAGCACCAUCUCCUGAAAUGAGACAUAACUGUAUAAUUGGACAGACAUAUUUCCAGAAAUGGGAGACUGUGUUAAUGAGAUUCUUUGCUACUCAGCUACUAAUUUUUCUCUCUACAGCUAACUCAGCUUUUCGUGUAUGAGACUUCUAGGGAAAUUUCAUACAAGAUAAUGUUGGAGCUCAGAAAAUGAUACCCCAAGGACUGGUAGUUUGACAUGUUGAGAGGCCUUUGAAGCUGCCUCAGAAUCGAGGACCCUUUGUCCUUUGCUUGGCCUCAUUCCUCGAUCCCAGCCCCAAGUGGAGGGAGGGAUUCUCUGGGAUUUCUUUAUCUAAGAAAGCUUAUUUUGGGGAAAAAAAUGCAAUUAUCUUGGGACCUUCUCUCUAGGGAACUCAUCAAAUAAUUGGAAAAGAUCAACUACCAGAGAAGAGAAGAGACUAGUAGUCACCACAGCACUCAGGUGUGCCCUGUAAAGAGAGCUUUAAAAAGAAGAAUACUGUUAUUGAGAGCUUCAAGAUCUAUGAGAAAACAGUGUUAAGUUUUAUUGACUGGCUUUCUUUUCAGUUACGAGACAUAAAGUCUAAGGCUACUACUUAUUUGGCUGAAAAUAUAUCUCCUGAGAUUCAUAAAACUUGAGGACACUAGAACCUGAAACUUAAAUUGAAAGCACUCUGACUUUCAUAUGCCCAUCUUGGAACAUUGUUUUUUUUGUUUAGUUUUCAUUAACCUCUUUAUCUUUUCCUCAAGUCUAAUAAAGAUGAUCUCUUUUUCUGUGGACUCACUUCUGAAGAAUAUCAUUUUCACAUAUAAAAGUUUCCAACUGUGCAAUAUUAUUGUCAUAAGAAUCAAGAUGGAAC